CAACCAUAUCACAGUGAAACACCGGUUCUCAUCAGAUCACUGAAGUUAAGCUACGUCGAGCCUGGUCAGUACCUAGAUUGGUGACUGCUUGGGAAUACUAGGUACUA